rnacentral:rRNA from 1 species
AUUGAACGCUGGCGGCAGGCCUAACACAUGCAAGUCGAACGGUAGCACAGAGAGCUUGCUCUCGGGUGACGAGUGGCGGACGGGUGAGUAAUGUCUGGGAAACUGCCCGAUGGAGGGGGAUAACUACUGGAAACGGUAGCUAAUACCGCAUAACGUCGCAAGACCAAAGUGGGGGACCUUCGGGCCUCACACCAUCGGAUGUGCCCAGAUGGGAUUAGCUAGUAGGUGGGGUAAUGGCUCACCUAGGCGACGAUCCCUAGCUGGUCUGAGAGGAUGACCAGCCACACGGGAACGGAGACACGGUCCAGACUCCUACGGGAGGCAGCAGUGGGGAAUAUUGCACAAGGGGCGCAAGCCUGAUGCAGCCAUGCCGCGUGUAUGAAGAAGGCCUUCGGGUUGUAAAGUACUUUCAGCGGGGAGGAAGGCGGUGGAGUUAAUAACUUCACCGAUUGACGUUACCCGCAGAAGAAGCACCGGCUAACUCCGUGCCAGCCGCCACCGUAA